UGUAGUUUUUGUGUUCUAUGUCCCAUCAAGACUCAGCUUCAUGGGAUUCGCUCCAUUGAACGUGAGAUUGCAGCAAGAAACUUUGGCUUCCUGAAUGCUAUUAAGAGGCUGUUGUCCAUACUCUUGAUCCUUGAGGAGAAGGAAAGGUUGGUAAGAGCCUUUAACUGUGGGAGAUCUCUACCGAUCUUCAGAAAUAAGAGAUAGAGGGGACAGAGAUCCUAAUUAAAUAUUCUAUUUCGAAA